GUGGCUCAAAUAGUUAAGCACUUGGCUGCUAACCAGAAAGUUGGUGGUUCAAACCCACCC
rnacentral:tRNA from 1 species